AGCGAACGCUGGCGGCAUGCCUAACACAUGCAAGUCGAACGAGACCUUCGGGUCUAGUGGCGCACGGGUGCGUAACGCGUGGGAACCUGCCCUUAGGUUCGGAAUAACUCCCCGAAAGGGGUGCUAAUACCGGAUAAUGUCUUCGGACCAAAGAUUUAUCGCCUUUGGAUGGGCCCGCGUCGGAUUAGCUAGUUGGUAGGGUAAAAGCCUACCAAGGCGACGAUCCAUAGCUGGUCUGAGAGGAUGAUCAGCCACACUGGGACUGAGACACGGCCCAGACUCCUACGGGAGGCAGCAGUGGGGAAUAUUGGACAAUGGGCGAAAGCCUGAUCCAGCAAUGCCGCGUGAGUGAUGAAGGCCUUAGGGUUGUAAAGCUCUUUUACCCGGGAUGAUAAUGACAGUACCGGGAGAAUAAGCUCCGGCUAACUCCGUG
rnacentral:rRNA from 1 species